rnacentral:rRNA from 1 species
CUCCACAGCCAUAUCACCCUGCAGCCCAAGACUGGUUGCCCACUGAAGCUAAGCUGGGUUGAACCUGGUAAGUACCUGGAUGGGAGACCUCCUGGGAAAACUAGGUUGCUGUUGGAA